AGAGUUGAUUAUGGCUCAGGAUCGAACGACUAGCCUACAAGGCUUAACACAUGCAAGUCGAGGGUAGCAGGGUAGCAAUACCGCUGACGACCGGCGCACGGGUGAGUAACACGUAUCCAACCUUCCCAUAACUCAGGGAUAGCCUUUACGAAAGAAAGAUUAAUACCUGAUAGUACUUUUUCAAGGCAUCUUGAGAAAGUUAAAGAUUUAUUGGUUAUGGAGUGGGGAUGCGUUCCAUUAGAUAGUUGGUGAGGUAACGGCUCACCAAGUCUUCGAUGGAUAGGGGUUCUGAGAGGAAGGUCCCCCACAUUGGUACUGAGACACGGACCAAACUCCUACGGGAGGCAGCAGUGAGGAAUAUUGGUCAAUGGGCGAGAGCCUGAACCAGCCAAGUAGCGUGAAGGAAUGAAGGUCCUAUGGAUUGUAAACUUCUUUUAUAGUAGAAUAAAGUGAUCCACGUGUGGAUUUUUGUAUGUAUACUAUGAAUAAGGAUCGGCUAACUCCGUGCCAGCCGCCGC
rnacentral:rRNA from 1 species